rnacentral:rRNA from 2 species
GGGUUGUGAGGUUAAGCGACUAAGCGUACACGGUGGAUGCCCUGGCAGUCAGAGGCGAUGAAGGACGUGCUAAUCUGCGAAAAGCGUCGGUAAGGUGAUAUGAACCGUUAUAACCGGCGAUGUCCGAAUGGGGAAACCCAGUGCAAUUCGUUGCACUAUCGUUAACUGAAUACAUAGGUUAACGAGGCGAACCGGGGGAACUGAAACAUCUAAGUACCCCGAGGAAAAGAAAUCAACCGAGAUUCCCCCAGUAGCGGCGAGCGAACGGGGAGCAGCCCAGAGUCUGAAUCAGCUUGUGUGUUAGUGGAACGGUCUGGAAAGUCCGACGGUACAGGGUGAUAGUCCCGUACACCAAAAUGCACAGGCUGUGAACUCGAAGAGUAGGGCGGGACACGUGGUAUCCUGUCUGAAUAUGGGGGGACCAUCCUCCAAGGCUAAAUACUCCUGACUGACCGAUAGUGAACCAGUACCGUGAGGGAAAGGCGAAAAGAACCCCGGCGAGGGGAGUGAAAAAGAACCUGAAACCGUGUACGUACAAGCAGUGGGAGCACCUUCGGGUGUGACUGCGUACCUUUUGUAUAAUGGGUCAGCGACUUAUAUUCUGUAGCAAGGUUAACCGUAUAGGGGAGCCGCAGGGAAACCGAGUCUUAACUGGGCGUUAAGUUGCAGGGUAUAGACCCGAAACCCGGUGAUCUAGCCAUGGGCAGGUUGAAGGUUGGGUAACACUAACUGGAGGACCGAACCGACUAAUGUUGAAAAAUUAGCGGAUGACUUGUGGCUGGGGGUGAAAGGCCAAUCAAACCGGGAGAUAGCUGGUUCUCCCCGAAAGCUAUUUAGGUAGCGCCUCGUGAAUUCAUCUUCGGGGGUAGAGCACUGUUUCGGCUAGGGGGUCAUCCCGACUUACCAACCCGAUGCAAACUACGAAUACCGAAGAAUGUUAUCACGGGAGACACACGGCGGGUGCUAACGUCCGUCGUGAAGAGGGAAACAACCCAGACCGCCAGCUAAGGUCCCAAAGUCAUGGUUAAGUGGGAAACGAUGUGGGAAGGCACAGACAGCCAGGAUGUUGGCUUAGAAGCAGCCAUCAUUUAAAGAAAGCGUAAUAGCUCACUGGUCGAGUCGGCCUGCGCGGAAGAUGUAACGGGGCUAAACCAUGCACCGAAGCUGCGGCAGCGACACUAUGUGUUGUUGGGUAGGGGAGCGUUCUGUAAGCCUGCGAAGGUGACCUGUGAGGGUUGCUGGAGGUAUCAGAAGUGCGAAUGCUGACAUAAGUAACGAUAAAGCGGGUGAAAAGCCCGCUCGCCGGAAGACCAAGGGUUCCUGUCCAACGUUAAUCGGGGCAGGGUGAGUCGACCCCUAAGGCGAGGCCGAAAGGCGUAGUCGAUGGGAAACAGGUUAAUAUUCCUGUACUUGGUGUUACUGCGAAGGGGGGACGGAGAAGGCUAUGUUAGCCGGGCGACGGUUGUCCCGGUUUAAGCAUGUAGGCUGGUUGUCCAGGCAAAUCCGGAUAAUCAAGGCUGAGGUGUGAUGACGAGGCACUACGGUGCUGAAGUAACAAAUGCCCUGCUUCCAGGAAAAGCCUCUAAGCAUCAGGUAACAUCAAAUCGUACCCCAAACCGACACAGGUGGUCAGGUAGAGAAUACCAAGGCGCUUGAGAGAACUCGGGUGAAGGAACUAGGCAAAAUGGUGCCGUAACUUCGGGAGAAGGCACGCUGGUGUGUAGGUGAAGUCCCUGCGGAUGGAGCUGAGACCAGUCGAAGAUACCAGCUGGCUGCAACUGUUUAUUAAAAACACAGCACUGUGCAAACACGAAAGUGGACGUAUACGGUGUGACGCCUGCCCGGUGCCGGAAGGUUAAUUGAUGGGGUUAUCCGUAAGGAGAAGCUCUUGAUCGAAGCCCCGGUAAACGGCGGCCGUAACUAUAACGGUCCUAAGGUAGCGAAAUUCCUUGUCGGGUAAGUUCCGACCUGCACGAAUGGCGUAAUGAUGGCCAGGCUGUCUCCACCCGAGACUCAGUGAAAUUGAACUCGCUGUGAAGAUGCAGUGUACCCGCGGCAAGACGGAAAGACCCCGUGAACCUUUACUAUAGCUUGACACUGAACAUUGAGCCUUGAUGUGUAGGAUAGGUGGGAGGCUUUGAAGCGUGGACGCCAGUCUGCGUGGAGCCAACCUUGAAAUACCACCCUUUAAUGUUUGAUGUUCUAACGUUGGCCCCUUAUCGGGGUUGCGGACAGUGUCUGGUGGGUAGUUUGACUGGGGCGGUCUCCUCCCAAAGCGUAACGGAGGAGCACGAAGGUUAGCUAAUCCUGGUCGGACAUCAGGAGGUUAGUGCAAUGGCAUAAGCUAGCUUGACUGCGAGCGUGACGGCGCGAGCAGGUGCGAAAGCAGGUCAUAGUGAUCCGGUGGUUCUGAAUGGAAGGGCCAUCGCUCAACGGAUAAAAGGUACUCCGGGGAUAACAGGCUGAUACCGCCCAAGAGUUCAUAUCGACGGCGGUGUUUGGCACCUCGAUGUCGGCUCAUCACAUCCUGGGGCUGAAGUAGGUCCCAAGGGUAUGGCUGUUCGCCAUUUAAAGUGGUACGCGAGCUGGGUUUAGAACGUCGUGAGACAGUUCGGUCCCUAUCUGCCGUGGGCGCUGGAGAAUUGAGGGGGGCUGCUCCUAGUACGAGAGGACCGGAGUGGACGCAUCACUGGUGUUCGGGUUGUCAUGCCAAUGGCACUGCCCGGUAGCUAAAUGCGGAAGAGAUAAGUGCUGAAAGCAUCUAAGCACGAAACUUGCCCCGAGAUGAGUUCUCCCUGAGACUUUAAGUCUCCUGAAGGAACGUUAAAGACGAUGACGUUGAUAGGCCGGGUGUGUAAGCGCAGCGAUGCGUUGAGCUAACCGGUACUAAUGAACCGUGAGGCUUAACCUUACAACGCCGAAG